GAUUUUUCUCAAUUCAUUCCUGUUUUUCCUUCCAUGUUCAUGUAUUUUCAUUUAUCACAAGUAUUAUGGGAUAAACCCACAUCAAAAGACCUUGACCAUAAAAUGUUAAGAAUACAAGAAAACCAAUGAAAAACCUUAACACCAUCCAAAGACUUCUGUCUCUUACAGGCACUGAUGACAUGUAGUAACACAAAAGAAUGUGGUCACCCUUCUGGAAUAGUGAGUGAGUCAAGUAAACUUGUAUUCAAUUCAGGUCAUGUGUUGUUUGGCUGGGCUAUUCAACACUACUGUAAACUCAGAAAUGGAUGCACCAAACACAUUUAUUUUCUUUUAGGUCGUUUACAAAAUCUUUCUAAGUAAUUUUGAAACUUAAAAUGUAUAUUUCUUAUUAUAAAAGCAACAUGUGUUCACUGCACAAAAGCUAGACAACAGGAGAAAAAAACGUAUUUUGUAUUCUGUUUAACAUUUUUGUUUAAAUCCUAAUCUGUCCAAAAACAUUCUCGUCUUUUCCUUUCUAUAAACAUUAACUCUUAUGAAUAAACACAAUAUUUUUUAUUAUUGGGAUCAUCAUUUUGCAUACGCUAUUUAAAAUUUGCUGACAUAAGAAACAAGAAACAAAUAAGAACAUACAAAUAAACAAAACCCCACCAGUAACCCUGUCAUUAGGUAUAAUCACUAUUAACUUGUUGGAUGUCUAUUUUUCCAGAAUUUUCUCAAUUUGCAAAUCAUUAUCAGAAGCAAUAGGUCUUAAAUUGAUUUAUUUGUAAUCCAAAAAUGCAUUGGCUCUGUGCAUUCUGAAGGUAUACAUUGUUCCAUCUUCUACUCUACAUGCUGCUAAGAACUAUUGGAAAGUCACUUUUAAUAAGUUCAUAGUUGGCAGUGGGCAGGGCCUUGCUGAGGACCCCCGGCUGGGCACCUGCUGCGGGUUCAUCUACGCGUUCCCUCAGCUGCCUCCUUUCAACCUUGUCCACCCAUUGCCGUCUCUGGUGCCGUGGUGGUGGUUCCUGUUCCUGCCGCAGCUCUCUCCCCUUCUUCCCUCUCCACCAGAUCGCAGAGGUCACUCACCAUGGUUUUACCCAGUGCGGCUGCCAGGCUCUUGGGAAGCAACAGUGCAUCUUGUCUUGUUCUGCUGCCUGACGUGCCAGUGCUUCCUCCAAGAAUUUGAAAGACUUAUUGGCUGACCUGAUAGUUAAGGAGCAGGCCAGAAUUAAGACCUUCAGGCAGCGACAUUGCAAGAAGGUGGUGGGCCAAAUCACUGCAGACGCAAUGUAUGGCGACAUGAGAGGCAUUAAGGGACUGGUGUAUAAAACAUCCGUUCUUGAUCCUCAUGAGGGUUUCUGUUUCCAAGGCUUUAGUAUCCCUGAAUACCAAAAACUGCUACCCAAGGCUAAGGGUGGGGAAGGACCCCUACCCAGGGGACUUAUUUUGGCUGCUGGUAACUGGACAGACCCCAAGAGAGGAACAGGUUUCUUGGCUCUCGAGAGAGUGGGCAAAGAGGGCAGCUCUACCUUCCCAUGUGGUCACCAUGCUGGACAACGUUCCCACCAAUCUAUACCCAUGUUUGAGCUCAGUGAAGCCAUGGCAGCCCUAAACAACUUUCCCUGAGCACAUGCAGAGGGUGCCAGCCGAACCAAGUACUGGGAGUUGAUUUAUGAAGACCAUGUAUAUCUAAUCACAAAGCUACCUUGUGUUGCAGCAAAGGUCUACCAAAAUCUCUACUGAGAGGGCAGCGGUAUUGGGGCCACUGACUCUAAGCUGGACUGGUCCCACAGUUUCACCAACAUGUUAGGCUAUACUGAUGCUCAGUUCACUGAGCUCAAGCACCUGUAGCUCACCAUCCACAGUGACCAUGAGCACAGCAAUGUAAGUGCUUAUAGCAGCCACUUGGUGGGCAGUGCCCUUUCAGAUCCUUCCCUGUCCUUUGCAGCAGCCAUGAACGGGCUGGCAGGUCCUCUGCAUGGACUGGCAAAUCAGGAAGUGCCUGUCUGGCUAACACAACUACAGAAGGAAGUCGGCAAAGAUGUGUCAGAUGAGAAGUUACGAGACUACUUUCAACUCGAGAUGGGUUGUUCCAGGCUAUGGCCAUGCAGUGCUAAGGAAGACUGAGCCACAAUGUACCUGUCAGCAAGAGUUUGCUCUGAAACACCGCAUAAUGAUCCCAUGUUUAAGUUGGUUGCUCAGUUAUACAAGAUUGUGCCCAAUAUCCUCUGAGAUUAGGGUAAGGCCGAGAAUACUGGGCCCAAAGUAGAUGCUCAUGGUGGGGUGCUCUCCUGUACUAUAGCAUGACGGAGAUACAUUGCUAUGCGGUCCUGUUUGGGGCAUCACAGGCAUUGGGUGUAUUGGCACAGCUCAUCUGGAGCUGAGCCCGAGACUUCCCUCUAGAAAGACCCAAGUCCAUGAGCACAGGUGGUCUGAUGAAGUCUGUGGACUCUAUGUCAGGAUAAAACUGGAUACUGGGGGAAACUGACUAUCAGAAAGUGAGGAAGCCUUAAAAAAUGUAUAUUGUUGUUUCAGGGGGCCUUUAAAGACUUAAGAUUAAAUUAUAUCUGAGGCACUGAUAAUCUGUUUGAGGUUAAAAUAUUAAUUCAGAGUUUAAAAAAUGAAAAAUGAUCCCUUCUUCCCUAACCAGAUCCCUUCCCCUGCCUGGUAUGAGUUGCCCAUCAACUGUAGGAUGACCAGAACGAAUGCAUGUGCUGUGGUUUAGGUGUGGUCCCUCUGUAUCUCUAGAGUGAGAAUGUGGCUCCUCUUUCUCUGGGUCAAAGCCAGUUGCAGAGAAUCUAUAGUCACGUUAGAGCUUUUGCUUCUUCUCUGUCAAACCUCAACAAGCCAGCUAACCAAGACUCUGCCCCUUCGGUUUCCAUAGGAAUCACACUGGAUAGUCAGCAGUACCAAGCCCCUUGGCACUCUCUCGUGCACACGAACACCUCCUAGAAAGACCUUUUGGUUAGCCAGACAGGCAUGCUUUGGCAAAUGUUUAAGAUGCCAAGUGACCAUAAAGGCAUGGCAUUUGUGGUGACUGGCACCCAACGUUAGAUUCUAUUUCGAUUUUUAAAACUAUCCAAUUAAAAUUAAGGCCUGGGAGUGUUCUGUUUCCCAUUACUUUAAUACUCACCUCCUCCCAGACUUUCCACACCUGUUGUAUCUCGAGCUGAGGAUGUUCUGGACCUCCUACUCUUGGUCCCUACUAGAAACCUCUCAGUAGAUCUGUAGUCCCAGUGAUUGGGUUUUAUCAGUGCUUAAUAUGAACUCAGGUUUUUUACUUCCACAGAACACAAGCCACUACCCUCUGACUUUCCCUUACCCUUCUAAUAUGUUGUGGGGCAUAGAACAGGGACUCAGGAAUGACCAGCAUGGUAUUUUCAGAGUCUGGUCCCUGGGGUAUUAGCACCACCUUUUGAACAGGGAACUGAUUCAAGAUUGGACAUGAUCUCCUCUGAUUAUCAUGUCCUGGGGCUGAGGGCAUUAAAAAUAGUAAGCCUCCCUCCUCAUCCGCUGCCUCAAGAAAAUGCCCCCUUAUUUAUCAACAUCCUUUUCCUGUACCUUGCCCAAGAGCUCACAGUACAAUGUUUGUUUUAGAGGCCCCAUUUGCACAGGUUUUCAGCAACUCGGAAUGCUAUGCUGUCUUUGAGGUGGGCUUGAGAUACACUCCUGCUGUGCCCCCUUCUUCCCUCCAAACUCCUGCCUUUGUUUGUGUGGAUCCCCAAUCCCAGAACCACGGUGUUCAGUUGGACACACGUAAAUCCCUGGGUAACCAUCAAGUCAUGAGGCAGACUUCAGGCUGUUCUGUAUAAAAUGCAAAAUAAACAUCUUUAUUAACAACAGCAAAAAGUUCACAGUUAAGUGGAGGAAUCAGACAAGCAUAUCACUGUUGUCAUUGACACCAUAUGCUGUAGGGAACUGAGGAGUGGCACCUACUGAGCCUAGAGGAAUCUGAGGAGCCUUCACGGGGAAGUGAUAUUAGAGUCUUGAAUAAGGAAUAGAGUGUUCAUCAUUCAGGCAAGGCAGGGGAGGCCUUUGCAAAGAAUGUGCAGGGCUGGGAGAGAAUGUAAAAUAGUCAGCCCUGAGUAGGUUAAUAUGGUGUAUGAUAGUGAAAAAUAAAUCUUGAAAGACAGAGACCUGACUGACCAUGCAAAGACCUAAUGUGCAGAUAAGAAGCCUGGGCUUCAUCUGGUAGGUCAUAGGAAUCUAUUUAAGGAAUGUAUAUGUGUGUGGGUGGAAGGGGCUUCUACAAGAAAUACAAAAGUAAUCUUUGGAUAGUGCCUUCGGUUUAGUUUCUGAAGACAUAGCCCAAAAUGGGGAUUGAGUGAGCAAAAAAGGCUGAGUGUAGCUGUGGACACAACAGGACACGUGCUUCCGUCUCACCCCUGGGGAAGCUCUGGAGCACAAAUUGCACCACAGGGUUAAUACCAUCCCAAGGCAUGGGGUUGCCCUACCUGGGUCGAUUAGUCCUUGGCCCAGGGUUUGGUGAGAAGGGAAAGAGGUAGAGCUUCCUGUGCUAGCACUGGCCGAGAGCAAUUCUCAGGAGAAGGGGGCAUCCAUCAGUACUCACAGCUCCCAUCACAGCAUGAGUGCAGAAGCAGGUAAAGAGGAACUGAGCAGAGCACCAGCAAUGCAUCCAUUGCAGAGAGCUUUAACUAAACGGCACAAAUGUAUUCUCGAUGAAUAUUUCUGGCUCUUCCUCUGAAAGUUUGACACUCUGGUACAUCUACAUCCAUCAGAUGAGGAGAGUCUUGUGGUGUUGACAACCAACUAAUCAUCCCACAUUGACAGAGUGAGUAGACCCAGAGUGUGCUCUUCUGGGUCAUAAGGGAUAAUUUUCUAUCUACAGGGAGAGCCUUGGGGCUGAGGAAAUCAUAUUUCAACGUGUAAAAACAUUAAGUAAUAGUAGAAAAGUUAAAGAUGUUCAUGAGGCAGCAGUACAGCAGCUCACAAAGAAAUAGAAGACAAUUGUCACAUGAAUGGCUGUGUCUUCAGUUGGACUAGAGUCACUCCUUUGCUCUUUUGAAACACUUUCUCUCUGAUACUUUCAAAAUACUUGAGAAGUGACAUCAGUUUCACUGCUAUUAGCUUACCUGAAGUGUAUACACAACAUGGGCAUGGAAGCAAUGCUGCCUGCCUCUCAAUAUGAUGUGUGCAUUCAUUCAUUCAUUCAUUCAACAAAUACUAUGUGGUAUGCAGUGCCCCAGGUGAGAGAAAUAUCACAAAGAACAGCGCAAUAUCCCCGAGAUUGGGAAGCUUACAUUUUAGAUUUGCAGAGGCAUACAGGCUAUAUAUAAGUAAUUAAGUAAGAAUGAAUGUCAGCUUGUGAUAGGUAUAAGUUAAAAAAUAAAGCAGGUGAGCUGGGCAUGUGGGUGGGUGGUUCACGCCUGUGAUCCCAGCACUUUGGGAGGCUGAGGUGGGAGGAUUGCCUGAGCUCAGGAGAUUGAGACCAGCCUGGGCAACACAGUAAGACCCUCCCUCAAUAACAACAACAAAAAUAGCCAGGCGUGGUGGUUCAUGCCUAUAGUCCCAGCUACUUGGGAAGCUGAGGUGGGAGGAUUGCUUGAGCCCAGGAGUUUGAGACUGCAGUGAGCCAUGAUGGCACCACUGUACUCCAGCCGGGGUGACAGUGAGACCCUGUCAUAAAUAAAUAAAUAAAGCAGAUAAAGUGGGUAGAAAGCACCAGAGUGCCAAGGGGUUGAUGUUGAUUUCUGUUUUAUUUAGAGUAAUCUGAGAAGGCUUCACUUAUAAUUUGGCUUGAAGAAAACAUGAGAGCAAGUCAUGCAAUGUUCAAGUAAGAGUGCAGCAGUCAGAAGAAAAAGCUAUGCAAGGGCCCUAAGGUUGAAAGUGUUCUUAGUGUGUUUGAGAAACAUCAAGGAAUGUGCAAAAGGCAGAGUGAUAGAAGAUGAGAUCAGAGAGGUGAGAGGUGGGGAGAGGUGUCACAUGUGUCCCUGGAGGCCAUUGUAGGGCUUUUGCCUUUUAUUCUGAAUGAGGUAGGAAACCUUUGUAGUGUCUUGAGCAGAGAUGUGAUAUGAUCUGGUUUAUGAUUUAAAAGACCCAGUUGGGUGCAUUCAGGACUGGCUACAGUUUGAAGGACCUGGUGAGAAAUGAAAGUGUGAGGCUAUUUGUUCAAAAAUUAUCAAGAAUUUCAAGAUGGCAACAGCACAGCAUUAAACCGAGCACUGGGUCCUUGUGAGUGAGGGGCCCUGUGUGACUGCACGGGUCAUAUGCCUAUGAUGCUGGCCCUGGAUGUAUUGAGUAUAGGCUGCCAGGAGUGAAGGGCAGAGGCAGUGAGACCUGUAAAAAGUCAGUGCAAACAUCCAGUGGUGGGUGAAAGUAUAGACAUAGCAGUGGAAGUGGUGAGGAGGAGGCACGCACUGUUUUUGUUUUUAUAUAUUUUUUGAAGGUAGAGCUGAUGGCAUUUGCUAAUGGAUUGGUUGGAAUUUAUUGAGACAGAAAAGAGGAGGAGCAGGUCUUUAAUGUAAAGCAGAAGUUCAUAGUUGGACUUUAAUAAAUGUGAAGUCAUUUGAAAGCAAGGGGAAGAUGGUAUUUAAGCAGUUGGAUGUAUGAUUCUGGAAUUGAGGAAAGAGAUCCAGAUUGCAGAUCCAAAUUUGGGAGUCUCAUCUCCAUAAAGAAAGCAUUUAAGAUCACAAAAACAGAUAAGAUGGGACAGAUAGGAAAAAAAUGGGGAAAGAGAAAAGAGAAGAUAAGGAACAGAUAUAUAAAGGAGAAGAGCAAAGGUAGGGUAUAAGACACUCUACUUAGAGAUCGGAGACAUUGGGAGGAACAAACAAAAGAGAACUAGAACUGUGAAUGAGGAGAGAUGAUCCAGAGGCCACAUGAGAAAAAUGUGUCCAGAAGAAAGUGUUAAUCAUGUCAUGUGACCCAGUAGCUGAAGACUGAGGAUCAACCAUUGAAUUUAGUUUCAUAAAGGUUGUUUGUGUUCCUGGUAGGAACUGCUUUGGUUUAACAGUGAAAAUAAAAACUUCUGUAGAGUGCAAACAAUUUAGAAUGAAGGGAGAGGUAAUGAAAGAUAGCAAACACAUACAACUCUCAAAGAGUUUUGAAAAAAGGGAAAUAGAGGAAUGAGUGGUGACUGGAGGGAAAUAUGGGGUUAUGUGAUCGUUUUUUGUUUUGUUUUUAAAUUGUGAGAAAUAAAAAUGUUUUAUUCCCUCUAAAAAUUAUUUAGAGGGAAUUAUGUAGUAGAGAAGGAAAAUUUGAUGAUGGAGAAACAAAAGGGACAAUUGCUAGAGCAAUGUCCUGAAUAAUAAAGAAAGGAUGACGUACAGGGCCCAAGGGAAGUAGGUGGCUUUGCACAGAAGCAAAGACAGUUUAUUUAUAUUAAUGGAGUUGCGAGGAGAGAGCAGGGUUAUGGGUCCAGAUGCAGGAAGUGGGUAGAUGUUAUGUUGGGAGGGUAUAGGAAUUCUAUUCAGAUUAAUUCUCAUUUCUUCACAACAGAGGAAGUAAAUUCAACAACAGAAAUCGAGGAUAAGGAACAUGGUGUUGCAGUUCAAACCAGUUCCAGCCAAAAUGGACUCUAGUCACAAACAAAUAGUCUUAACAAUCCAAAUCGGUGGCUGAAUAGAGUUCUGAGGUUUUGAGAAAGAGGUAAAGUUAUGAAAUAGUUGUCUAGGAGCAGGCAAAAAAGUGGAUUAGAGAAAAUUAGAAUUGCUACUUAGCACUAAGGAGCCACUUGAAAUUAGAGGUGUUACAUGAAGAGUGAGAUUUGAACUGAGUUUUAAAGAAUGUUAAGAACUUGGAUGGAGAGACAAGGGAGAGAACUUUAGACAAAGAUGAUCUGUAGACCCAAGGCCUGCCAUUCUCAUCAUUAUUGUUUGCCUUAGUUUGUGUAUCCUCUACAAGCCCAAGGCGAGCAUUUAUUUGGAAGGGGAUUUCAGGAAACACAAGUGAGGAAGUGAGUGAAAGAGAGGUGGGGUAAUGAAAAAGCCAGUAAAGGCUUUGUUAAGCUGGCCGCCACUGUGUUCAAAUGGCGCUCAUUCUCAAUGGGGAUUCUCUGAGAAAGCUGAACCAUGCCUCAGAAUUAUUCCACCAGCAGGGAGGGAGAGGCGGAGGCAUUCAUCCACCAGCUAUCACAUACUCCUUCCAUGGGUUGAAAGGUGUAUCCCCAAUAUUUUAAUUUGUUCAUGCUUGUGGCCAGCAGCUCUUGAGGCACAAGAGAAAGCCUGCAGAAAGAAAGCUUCAGCAUGGGAAACACUGUCUUGAUUGCUCUGUCACCUCACCAAAGCAAUUUCUCGCCAGUCUUCCCCAGUUCAAUAAAUGGCACCACAAUGUAGUCAGUAGCAGGAGCCAAAACUUAGCAGUCAUUUAUUCACCCUUUACAUUUAUCAAGUACUUUUACCAUGCCUAGCACUCAUUCAGGUGCUGGGUGCUAGCCAGACCUCUAUGCUGAACUCCUGUAACAUCCCAAAUCAGUCCUCUUCUCUCCAAAUCCCUUUGUAUAUCUAUAAUUUGCAAUGAGGCUGGCCAUUUAAAAUUGUUGCUAAAUUGAGACGAAGGGGCUGAGUCUUUGUAAUCCUCACUGAGCUACUACCUUGCUCCAUUCCCAUGUCUUUUCCCCGUAUGCUUUUGUCUCUGAUCUUCCAGACCCCUGUCCAACUAGCCAAAUCAUUCACCUUGCAUAUGAGUCUAUGUGUAUUCCUGGCCUAAGCCACUUCUCCCUCUACACCCUACCUAGAUGACCAAGUGCACUGUUUACAGCCAUCCCCAGUGGGAGGAUUUUUCUCUCACUUCCAUCUUUCAAGGCACUGUGGGUUGAAAUGUAUCCUCUCAAUGAUAUGUUGAAAUCCUUACUCUUGGUACCUAUGAAUGUGAUCUUAUUUGGAAAUAGGGCCUUUGCAGAUACAAUUAUUAAUAUGAGUUCAUACUGGAUAAGAGUAGCCCUAAUUCCAGUGUC